rnacentral:rRNA from 1 species
AUACGGAGGGUGCGAGCGUUGUUCGGAAUCACUGGGCGUAAAGGGCGCGCAGGCGGUUUGUCAAGUCAGAUGUGAAAGGCCACGGCUCAACCGUGGAGGUGCAUCUGAAACUGGCAGACUUGAGUACCGGAGGGGAAAGUGGAAUUCCCGGUGUAGAGGUGAAAUUCGUAGAUAUCGGGAGGAACACCGGAGGCGAAGGCGACUUUCUGGACGGAUACUGACGCUGAGGCGCGAAAGCGUGGGGAGCAAACAGGAUUAGAAACCCGAGUAGUCC